UGUAUGAUGCCCAACCUAUUGCACAUGCCAUAGGUAUCAUGUAAAGAUGUGGAUUCCUUGCCAUCACACGUGUGUCUAAAACUUGUGCAAAGUCUGCAGAAGAGGCAGUUGACCAAAUAUCCCAGGAUCAGUAGUUCAACUUAUUGAGCCAUUUUACAGAACCUCGUUAUUAAGUAACUUGCAAAAGCCAAAGUAUUGAUAAUAAGCAUUGACUAAUGCUUACAGUGGCAGAAGCUGUUAGUUGCCUAACUUGUAGUCAUACUUCUUUUCUUUCUUUACAAUGGGAAAUCCAAGUCUCUUCUGAGCAAUAGACUGCUCAGCUGUAUUGCUCAGCCUCUCUUGUAGUGAGGUAUGGCCAGUCAGGCCAAUGAAAUAUUGAUAUAUCAAAUGUCAAGACAAUAGUAUAUUAAUAUAUCAAAUACCAGGCAAAUGAUAUGUUGAUAUAAUUGGAUUUUGUUGGAUAGGACUUCUGGAAAGGCACCUUAAAAGGGAGGGACAGCUAAGAAACCCCCUUUUGCCUUUGCCUUUCCCUUCUUUUCUACCUGGAAUGUGGAUUUAGUGGCUGGAAUUCCAGCAGCCAUCUUGUGACUUUGAGGAUCUAAGCCAUGCCUGAACGAUGGGAAAGGAGAAAAACAGAAGACCUCUGAUUCCUUGAUAAUCUGAAGAGAUUUCAUACCAGCUCUGGACUGCCUACUUCUGAUCUUGCAUGAGAGAGAAUAAACCCUUAUGUGUUUAACUACUAUAUUCACAGCCAAAGGAAAUUCCUGUUAAAGUUGAUGGGCAAAGAGAAGCAGAAGGAAUUUAUCUGAUCAGAUUCCUCCUGUUUCCCUCAUACUUUCAGGUUGCUUCAUCCAGCCAUCCCUAGGGAGGCCAGAUCCCACAGCCCAGUGUGUGGCACUUCAGCAAGCCUGGAAAUGGUGCAAGGAACCAGAAAGUUGAGCUGUGCAGUCGUUUGGCCUGUGGCAAGCAAGGGGGCGAGACUGGCACUCCCAGACAGAUAACUGUCCAGCUGAAGCUGGUGCAAUCAAAUGUCUCAGGCAGCUGAGGUGGAGCAAAGUGCUGAGGAGAGAAAACUGGCUACUUUAUUGUGGGAAGAUACGUGAGAACGUACAGCAUCCUGAAGAUACACCCAAUCCCAGCUGACUGCUCCUCGAACUUCUCUGGAGCCUUGAGAGACUUUCAUGUUGCAGUCGCCUUGAGGUUAGCGGUACCAAUUAUUAACUAAUAACUUACUGGGGACCUGACUGUGUCUGGGUAGAGGUGAUUUCCAGGACCAAGAUU
rnacentral:lncRNA from 1 species